rnacentral:lncRNA from 1 species
AUGCCAUGCCUCACUCCAGUGAAGGACGGACUCCUGUUCUGUCUCCUAAAACCCACACAGCUCGCCUGGAGCUUCAAACGUGAGAACACAUUCCAGUUGCAGGAUCAGAGGACUUUUCCUACAGCACGACCUCUGAUCCCUGAAGGGAGGACCCAGAGUCACCAGCCUGCCAAGAAGCACCGAGCAUCUGCUCUGGAGAAGGGAGUUAGGAAGGAAACGUGUGAACCACGCAGCCAGACCGGUCUCCAGAUGGCGAGACCUCUGAGGAAUUCAUCUGUGGUCAAUGUGAGCACAUCCUCCAAUAAUUGGUUUCAAGAGAUGGAACUCCCACUUGCUGUCUGGUGGCAGACACUGUCUCAGGAGGAAUGGUUUGGGGCACAGGGUAGCAAAUGGUGCAGUGUCUUUUUUUGCAUCUUAACAUGGGCUCUUGUCUUGGACACCCUAGUGGUGACUGCAAAACAGCAGGAUGGUCGCACCAUGGCGUUUGGAGUCAUACCAACUUGGGUUAGAAAUUCUGUUCGUCUUUUGAUUGCAGUUGAUAAUACCUGCUUCAGAGAGUUGUUGGGAUGA